AAUCAACGCUGGCGGCGUGCCUAACACAUGCAAGUCGAACGCGAAAGCCCCUCGGGGUAAGUAGAGUGGCGUCCGGGUGAGUAACACGUAGGUAAUCUACCUUCGGGUGGGGAAGUAACUCGCCGAAAGGCGAGCUAAUACCGCAUAAUGCAGCGGCACCUAAUGGUGAUUAGUUGUUAAAGCGGGGAGUCGUAAGACCUCGCGCCUGAAGAGGAGCCUGCGGCAGAUUAGCUAGUU
rnacentral:rRNA from 1 species